rnacentral:tRNA from 1 species
ACGGGUGUAGCUCAAUUGGUAGAGUAGCGGUCUCCAAAACCGUUGGUUGUGGGUUCGAGUCCUACCACCCGUG